AUUCUCCGAAUCUCUUCCAGACUUCUUCUGGCCAACAGAUGACUCUACUCCGAACUUCUUUCGAACCUCGUCAAUGUCCGAGCUUCUCCGACAAUGAGAUUUCUAUAGUAACCAAACUCCAUCCAAGUUUCUACGAUGGUCGACCACCUUUCGGAUUCCAUCCGAGCUCUUACAAGAACCAAAUUUCAGCCGAACUCCUACAGUGGAUGGAUCCC
rnacentral:lncRNA from 1 species